rnacentral:rRNA from 2 species
ACGGGGUGCACAGGCGCGAAACCUUUGCAAUGUGCGCAAGCACGACAAGGUUAAUCCGAGUGUUACCUGCUAAAGGAAUCUUUUGUUAGUCGUAAAACCACUGAUGAAUAAGGGGUGGGCAAGUUCUGGUGUCAGCCGCCGCGGUAAAACCAGCACCUCAAGUGGUCAGGAGGAUUAUUGGGCCUAAAGCAUCCGUAGCCGGCUCUGCAAGUUUUCGGUUAAAUCCAUUUGCUUAACUAAUGGGCUGCCGAAAAUACUACAUAGCUAGGGAGUGGGAGAGGUAGACGGUAUUCGGUAGGAAGGGGUAAAAUCCUUUGAUCUAUUGAGGACCACCUAUGGCGAAGGCAGUCUACCAGAACACGUUCGACGGUGAGGGAUGAAAGCUGGGGGAGCAAACCGGAUUAGAUACCCGGGUAGUCCCAGCUGUAAACGAUGCAGACUCGGUGAUGCGCUGGCUUGUGGCCAGUGCAGUGCCGCAGGGAAGCCGUUAAGUUUGCCGCCUGGGAAGUACGUACGCAAGUAUGAAACUUAAAGGAAUUGGUGGGGGAGCAC